GGAGAUUUAGCUCAGUGGUAGAGUGCUUGCCUAGCAAGCGCAAGGCCCUGGGUUCGGUCCCCAGCUCCG
rfam:Rattus norvegicus chromosome 10, whole genome shotgun sequence.